rnacentral:lncRNA from 1 species
AUCACUCCAUCAAUCAAAAUUUUUUUAUAAUUUAUUGGAAUUUUUUGAUUGGUUGAAUGAUGUGGCACUGCGCAGAAUACAGGGUCUAUAUAAACCCUGCUGCGCCUAGGGUUUCGAGGUAGAAGUUAUUUUAUGCACAAAACUCAAUAGCUGCCACCCUCUCCAUGUCCUCCCUUCUCUCCUUCCUCCCCUCUUCACAUCCAAAGAGUUGGAUGUCCAUCUGGCAA